CCCCCACUGUACUGUGAAGCUCAGGGCAAGACUUUCUAAAAGUCUUCUGCCUACACCUGACAUGCUGUCCAGUGUGCACAGUUAUAUGUUGACUGUAUGAAGAUGGUGAAGGCUUUUCUGUAGUUGCAGAUCUCGCAAAAGGGGAGGAAGGCCUUCACCGCUGAACCCGAGCUUUGCCAUUUCGAAGUGCUGAGUCACCUCGUCCUCUCAGGGUCAGACACUUUCACGCAGGAAACGUCCUGCAGAGCACCGCAGCGGGAGCACCGAGCUGGUGUAUAGGUGUGAACCAAGUGCACGUCUAGUUCCCUUGGAGGCCAGAAAGAAGGCGGUGUCAGAUCCCCAGGAACCAUAGUUACAGAUGGUUGAUGUGGAAACUCAGAGAGGAUGCCACUGUUUUGAACUAUUUUGAAGGCACAGCCACCAGAGCUUUAGGUCAGAAGAGGUCCUUGGAACUGGAAUUACAGGUGGCUGUGAGCCUCCAGGUAGGUGCUGAGAAUCAAGCAGCCUGGCUCCUCUGUAGGAGCUCUAAGGAAUGCUCUUACCUGCUGAGCCAUCUGUCCAGCCCUGAUUGUCCUGGCUGUUAAUUGAGGAAGGAAGACUUACUCUGAGGGAGGGCUGAGCCAGUCCCCAGGCUGCUCCCUGAAUGGUAUGUAGAGGAGGGGAGCCAGCUAAGCACUGACCAGCGAGGGUGUGCACAUUUUCUUUGGUCUUUGUUUUGAAUGUGGUGUGGCUGGCUGCUUCAAUUCCUGACUUGAUUUCCUCAAAAGGAUAGGCUGUAACCCAGAAUGGUAAACUGCCUU
rnacentral:lncRNA from 1 species